GAUGGCCCACGUACCGCUGUGUAACUGAGCCAGAAACGCAAGGUGCCCCCUGUGUCCUCGGCCCUGGACCAGCCGACUUCCUUUCUGGGUCCAGUCCAGGCUCCAGGGCUACAACCCACCCCAAAAGCAAAGUAAUUGAAAUAGUACCUCGAUUUGCAGUCUUUUCCACACCAUAUGCACACGGAAUUGGAUCACUAAUUAAUAGGUAUUGUUUGCUAGGACCUUCGUCGUUUUGGGGCGUUUCAUUUCGCUUCAGACUGCACUUUCGGAGCUCAGGUUGAUGCUCCUGACUCCGGCCUCACUCCGGCUGUGGCCUGGUUACCGCUCUCUGAAAUCCAGAGCUGCCCCCCUCCUGAUUCAGGAAUGUUCAGACAUGUGCACCUGCUAAAUAGACUUGUCAAGUAGCGUAAUGGUAGUGCUCCACUUGCCGGCACAUAUGGGAGCCAGACGUUCUUACAUAUACCACAGGACCGCAGAACGCCAAACACUGACUUUGGACACAUUCUCCAAGCGGCAGGCCUCGUAGAACUGCAGCCUAGGAAGCUCAGGGAGGGCACAACUGAGGGGAAGACGGGCCAGUAUAAAAAGCUAAAAUUUACAGGGCACUAAAGUCCCUGUUAAGCAGGUUAUAUGCAUUGUCACAGUACUUGCCAUAACUCUAUGUGAUAGAUACUCGCAUCAGCGUUUUAUGGAUGAAGAAACAGGCCAAGCUAAUCCAGUAGGUGAUGGCAGAGCUGGAUUUCAGAACAGGUCUGCUCGAUGCUGAUAAUUUCCUUCUACCACGUACUGCCUCUCCACGUUCUGCUGCCUUAUAUCUAGAAUCUACUGAGAAGAGAUGUAGAAAAAGUCUUGAUUGUCCAGGACUGGACUCUGACACAGAGAUCUUCAGGAGAAGGCUUCUCCCGCCAACAUUCCCACACUUGACACAUGGCCACAGUGUUUUUCAGCCACAUAGGGGUUGCUGCAGACUUUAUUCAUGCACAAGGUUAACAUUAUUUUGGUGAUCAGAAAUGGGAUCCAGAGAAGACCCUCAGCAACUCUGAUGCUGGUGAGCAAACAGAUGCCACAGAGUCGAUUGGGCCCAUUGCUUUCUUGCCAACCCUGGAGUUUGAGGAUUUUACCUAUAUGAAAACGUGAUUAGCAAGAGAAUGGAGAGGGGGAAAGUUUGGGAAAGAGUCCUGCCAAAGGAGCAAG